GAGCGCUUGGGACGGGAGACGCGUGGUGCUAGUUCUCCCUCCAAAGAAGAUGUGACAGCGUCCCGAGUUUAGCAACUGGGAAUACUUGUAGCCAGAAGUGGACUGUCCAGACCCUUGAUUUGAUCUGAACCCUCGCGGGCUCCCGUAACCCCUGCCAGAGCCGGAGCAGAGAGAAGGGGUUGGGCAAGAAGAGAGAGACCUACAACACUGCUCACUGGUCAUGAAGCUUCCACGUUGUAGUUGGGGAACGGGGACUUGGACCUAGCCCCUCGAGCAUUGGGUUAUCGCUGGGGCUGAGUGCCUGCAAUACAAAUUCACUGCUCCUGGA